rnacentral:rRNA from 1 species
GGACCCGCACAAGCAGUGGAGCAUGUGGUUUAAUUCGAUGAUACGCGAGGAACCUUACCAGGACUUAAAUGUAAGUUGCAUGAUUCAGAAAUGAAUCUUUCUUCGGACUACUUACAAGGUGCUGCAUGGUUGUCGUCAGCUCGUGCCGUGAGGUGUCAGGUUAAGUCCUAUAACGAGCGCAACCCCUAUCGUUAGUUGCCAUCAAGUAAAGUUGGGAACUCUAGCGAAACUGCCGGUGCAAACCGUGAGGAAGGUGGGGAUGACGUCAAAUCAUCACGGCCCUUACGUUCUGGGGCUACACACGUGCUACAAUGGCCGGUACAGAAAGCAGCCACUAUGCGAAUAG